GGGAGGGGAGGGGGAAUGGGGGCAGGAAAGAUGGUGGACUGAGAUGAUCAUCAUAGCCCUCUUUUUAAAAAAAAUUGUAUUCUAAUCAGUUACACAUGACAGCAGAAAGCUCUUCGAUUCAUUGUAUACAAAUGGAGAAAUUUUUUCACUUCUCUGGUUGUACAUGAAGUAGAGUCACACCAUUCAUGCAGUCAUACAUGUACCUACGGUCAUGAAGUCAGUCUCAUUCCACCAUCUUUCCUACCCCAGUGCCCUCUCUCCCCCUCCCCUUGACUAGUGGAACAUUAAAUGAAAACAUUAAAAUAUUAGCAAAAUAUUACAAAGUUCUAGAGUCUGCCUUUCUAAAAAAUUGAAAUUGAACAUGCUCAUGAUUGCUUUAAAAAUUCUCAUUUGAUUCUUAUCAUCUGAAAUGCAAGUAUUAUGUAAAUUCUUUUCAUGUGUUUACAUAAGCUCUCUGUAAACUGUCUUGAAAUGCCAAUCGUGUCCACUUUUGUACUGAGAUCAGGCUUUAAAUCUUGCUCCAUUUCAACCAAACUAUAGCAUUCUGUUCUAGCUCUCACAGGUUCAUUUCCAUCUCACAUCUUCACUUUUCCGUGAUCUAUUUUUGAUGUUAUAUUUUGUUUAUUAGGUAAGAUCAUGCUUUCCUGAAAGUUCUUGAUUCUUCUUGGCAUAUGAUGGCAUUUGUACAUUAAAUAUUUACUCCAGUCUUUGCAAUCUCUCCUGUCUAUGUUCAUCCUUCCUGAACGGGGUAUUUAUAUGUUCUUUGAGCUUGUGGUAAUUGCCGCUAUUUCAGCAUUACACUGUGCCCCAAGUCCAGCUUUGCCACCAGCCCGAGGUUCUUGUGUGGUCAUUGUGUUUCAACACACAUGUGGAGUGUAAGUUGUCAAGCUGCAGGUAAUGCCUUCAGGCUGAGGGGGGUCAGGUGUGGGAGUGAAACGUGUGCCUGGGGCUAAGCUAUGUCCAGAUGCUUCAUCCACAAUCCCUCGCCUGGGGGCCAGCACUGUAGAUUCUGCCCAGUGCCGCACCUGUCUGUGGUGGCUCCAGGCCCUUAACAUUUUGUGCCUCCCUCUUCCCACCGAGUAAACAAAAACAAACAAACAACAAAAGAACUACUGCCCUCCUCCUCCUGAUCCCUUCCUUUGCUUAUUGGCCGUCUUAGAAAUUCCUCGCUGGGCUUGCCGGUACAAGUCUGUGAUCCCAUUUCAGUUUUCCAUGGUGGCAACUUUUAAGUUAGAUGUAAGAAUACAUUUCAAUAGCCACAAUUUUACCACUAUUUGCUUUGCAGUAUUUGUUUCUUAAUUGUAAAACUUCAAAAAAAUUUGAAUUAUUUUCUGUGGUACUGGGGAUAGAACUCAGAAAUACUCUGGCAUUAUGACAUAUUCCAACCCCAUUUGUUAUCUAUCUA
rnacentral:lncRNA from 1 species